GAUGAACGCUGGCGGCGUGCUUAACACAUGCAAGUCGAACGGAGUGGCGAACGGGUGAGUAACACGUAGGUGAAAUGCCUUUCACUUCGGGAUAAGCUUGGGAAACUGGGUCUCAUACCGAAUCGUGGGAGAUGAGCUUGCGGCCUAGCGGCUUGUUGGUGGGGUAAUGGCCUACCAAGGCGGCGACUGGUAGCCGGCCUGCGAGGGUGUGCGGCCACACUGGGACUGAGAUACGGCCCAGACUCGUACGGGAGGCAGUAGUGGGGAAGUUUACACAAUAGGCGGAAGCCUGAUGCAGCGAGGCCGGGUGGGGGAUGAAGGCCUUCGGGUUGUAAACUCCUUUCGGCAGGGACGCGGUACCUGGAUAAGAAGCACCGGCUAACUACGUGCCAGCAGCCGCGGUAAUAC
rnacentral:rRNA from 1 species